rnacentral:rRNA from 1 species
UAACACGUGAGCAACCUGCCCUUCAGAGGGGGAUAACGUUUGGAAACGAACGCUAAUACCGCAUGACAUAUCGGUACCGCAUGGCACUAAUAUCAAAGGAGCAAUCCGCUGAAAGAUGGGCUCGCGUCCGAUUAGCUAGAUGGCGGGGUAACGGCCCACCAUGGCGACGAUCGGUAGCCGGACUGAGAGGUUGAUCGGCCACAUUGGGACUGAGACACGGCCCAGACUCCUACGGGAGGCAGCGGUGGGGGAUAUUGCACAAUGGGGGAAACCCUGAUGCAGCGACGCCGCGUGAGGGAAGAAGGUUUUCGGAUUGUAAACCUCUGUCCUCAGUGACGAUAAUGACGGUAGCUGAGGAGGAAGCCACGGCUAACUACGUGCCAGCAGCCGCGGUAAUACGUANGUGGCAAGCGUUGUCCGGAAUUACUGGGUGUAAAGGGAGCGUAGGCGGGAAUACAAGUUGGAUGUCUAAUCUACCGGCUUAACCGNUAUUCGCAUUCAAAACUGUAUUUCUUGAGUGAAGUANAGGCAGGCGGANUUCCUAGUGUAGCGGUGAAAUGCGUAGAUAUUAUGAGGAACACUANNGGGGAACGCGGNCUGCNUGGGCUUAAACUUNACGCUGAGGCUNGNAAGCGUGGUAGCAAACANGAUUAGAUA